UAGAGUUUGAUCAUGGCUCAGAGUGACCGUUUGAGGCAUGCCUAACACAUGCAAGUCGAACGAUCUUUGGCCGUUUAUCGUCAGAGGUAGUGGCAAACGGGUGAGUAAUACGUGGACAAUCUUCCCUCGAGCGGGGGAUAACUCCGGGAAACCGGAGCUAAUACCGCGUGAGACCACGUCCUGGCAUCAGGAUGGGGUUAAAGCUCCGCAAGGGGCACUUGAGGAGGGGUUCACGGCCUAUCAGCUAGUUGGCGGGGUUAAAGCCCACCAAGGCGACGACGGGUAACCGGUCUGAAAGGACGACCGGUCACAAUGGCACUGAGACACGGGCCAUACUCCUACGGGAGGCAGCAGUGGGGAAUUUUGCUCAAUGGGGGAAACCCUGAAGCAGCGAUGCCGCGUGGAGGACGAAGGUCUUCGGAUUGUAAACUCCUUUUGCUGGUGAAAAAUAGCGGCGUGAACAACGCCGACUGAUGGUAACCGGCGAAUAAGCCACGGCUAACUUCGUGCCAGCAGCCGCGGGAAUA
rnacentral:rRNA from 1 species